rnacentral:rRNA from 1 species
AUUGAACGCUGGCGGCAAGCCUUACACAUGCAAGUCGAACGGCAGCGCGGGAGCAAUCCUGGCGGCGAGUGGCGAACGGGUGAGUAAUAUAUCGGAACGUGCCCUAGAGUGGGGGAUAACUAGUCGAAAGAUUAGCUAAUACCGCAUACGAUCUACGGAUGAAAGUGGGGGAUCGCAAGACCUCAUGCUCGUGGAGCGGCCGAUAUCUGAUUAGCUAGUUGGUAGGGUAAAAGCCUACCAAGGCCACGAUCAGUAGCUGGUCUGAGAGGACGACCAGCCACACUAGGACUGAGACACGGCCCAGACUCCUACGGGAGGCAGCAGUGGGGAAUUUUGGACAAUGGGGGAAACCCUGAUCCAGCAAUGCCGCGUGUGUGAAGAAGGCCUUCGGGUUGUAAAGCACUUUUGUCCGGAACGAAACGGGCCGAGCUAAUAUCCUGGCCUAAUGACGGUACCGGAAGAAUAAGCACCGGCUAACUACGUGCCAGCCGCCGCAGUAA